rnacentral:rRNA from 1 species
UACAGAGGGGGCGAGCGUUGUUCGGAAUUGACUAGGGGCGUAAAGGGCGCGUAGGCGGCCACCGCAAAGUCGACGUGUGAAAUCUCCGGGCUUAACCCGGAAGGUCAGCCGAUACUGCGGGGCUAGAGUGCAGAAGGGGCAACUGGAAUUCGUCGGUGUAGCGGAUGAAAUGCGUAGAUAGUCGAGAGGAACAGCCUGCGGCGAAGGCGGGUGCUGGGCUGACACUGACGCUGAGGCGCGAAAGCUAGGGGAGCGAACGGG